UCUCCGUUGGUGAACCAGCGGAGGGAUCAUUACAGGACUCGCAAGACUCCUUCACCCUGUGAACCUCACUACAAGCACGUUGCUUCGGCGGGUGUCCCGGCGGGGGUUUUCCCUCGCCGGGGCGCACAGCCCGCCGGCAGCCUACUAUACUCUGUCUCUUUGCGUUGGCAUCUCGAGAAAAAACAAACAAGUUAAAACUUUCAACAACGGAUCUCUUGGUUCUA
rnacentral:misc_RNA from 1 species